rnacentral:rRNA from 1 species
UACGGAGGGGGCUAGCGUUGUUCGGAAUUACUGGGCGUAAAGGGCUCGUAGGCGGCCUACUAAGUCGGAUGUGAAAUCCCCAGGCUUAACCUGGGAACUGCAUCCGAUACUGGAUGGCUUGAGUCCGGGAGAGGGAUGUGGAAUUCCAGGUGUAGCGGUGAAAUGCGUAGAUAUCUGGAGGAACACCGGUGGCGAAGGCGGCUUCCUGGGCCGGCAUUGACGCUGAGGAGCGAAAGCCAGGGGAGCAAACGGG